rnacentral:tRNA from 1 species
UCCCUAGUAUCUCAGUGGGUAAAGAAUUUGCCUGCAAUGCAGAAGACCCAGGUUCAUUCCCUGGGUCUGGAA